ACACUUCUGUCGACGAUCAGCCGUUGAUAAGCUACGAGUAAUAAAGGACAAAAGAUGGACAUUAAAGUGUGUGAUUUAUGUGGAUGUUACUGAAGAAGCUCAAAACAGACUCUUGUUACCACAUGGCUUUUACCGGUACCUGUUGAUUCUUGUGGGUCAGCUCUUGAGAUUAACCUGUCACCUCUAUCCACAUGCAAUUUCCUUGUGUUCUACAGACUUUUUACCGGUAAUUCAAAUUAAAUCGGAUAAUGCAUGAACAAUAAUGGAACUUUAUGAAAGCAUCAUCCCAUGUUGUGGUUUGUGUUUGAUAAGAAAUUAUGAAAAACAAAAUUAAGGCUAUAUAUUUAAAGAAAUUCAUAAUUAUUGUGAAAAUUUGUUUUUCAAUAAAAGUAUGCAAUUAU
rnacentral:sRNA from 1 species